UAGCACUAAUGUAUCAUAACUGAGGCAAAGUAUUAUGUAAUUAAUGAAAUUUCUGUUUAUUUCUAUAUUUCGGAGAAUGAGAAUGAUGGGAAACGCAGUUUGGUGGCGCAUGGUCUACUUAUAAAACAGCUAAAUGACUAGUGCUUUGUGGCAAACUUUUUUUAAAAUAUUAAUUUAUCCUUUAUCAACAGUAUUCUGAACAAAUGCAUACAAACUAAACUGUACCGUCAUACGAAUGUAAUUGAAAAUGUUUUCGCCAUGAUGCCCAAUAGUAUGAUUCGGCAAUUGACACGCCCGCUUCCCGCCAAUCAUCAUUCACAUAAUUGCACGAGGCAGCCGCGAGAGAAAAUGACACGCAAGCAGUGACGUUAGUGACUUUGUAUUCAUAUAACUUCAUAACCGGUUUAAUUUGAUAUAAAUAGUGUAUAUUACAGCGAAUGACUUCGUGAAGAGUAGUUUGACAGAGAGAAAGUCUAGUUUUGGUCAUGUUUUAUGGCAAACCCAUCCAUUUUGAGAAGAGGAGUUAUUCAGUUCACGGAUGUUUUAUUGAUGUCGAGCCACCCAACUAAGCCUGAAGAUACUUCACAUAGGGAAAAGAAGAUUCAUCGCUCUGGAAAAACAGACCUGGAUCUCAGGACCUGUGGUGAGGUACCAUUAAACAAGAGUGGAAGAAGGGGGUUGAAAUACUAUGUCACAGGCCAGAUUUAAACCUUUAUCUCCUACAUGAACACCACUUCUCAACACAUCAAGACAACAUGUUAAAUGCUACACUAUGGCUUUAAUACAUUUUUUUAGCACAGAUUUCAGCCUUAUUAUCAUGAGAUCAUGAGAGCAAGAAAAUGUGAUGAUGUCAAAAUUUACAGCUGAGUUUUGUGGUUUGUUGCUUUGUGGUUGCUAAGAUGUAAUGUUGCUGUAUGGUUACUUAGUGGGUUUUAACAUUGUUAUGAGCUAGCUAAGGUGUUUGGGCUGGCUGAUGAAAGAAAAAAGGAAGCAUGUCUGUAAAUAUUGUCGUGUUAUGUGCAAGCUUGUGUAUGUAUGCAAUCACAAAUAUCUUGUAUAGAGAUACAAAACAAAGGACUCCAGUAAAGAAUGUACCUUGACCUCAAAAUUUGGGACUUUGGAACUGUUUUUAAAGGGUUAGUUCAAAAAUGAAACAAGCACACAACUGAAAAUAUUUUAAAAGAAAUCUGAGAGAUAUCUGUCCCUCAAUUCACAGUCCAUGCAACUAUCACUUUGACCCUUCUAAAAGUUCAUAAAGAGAUCGUAAAACUAAUCCAUAUGAAUUGAGUGGUUUAGUCCAAAUUUCCUGAAGAGAUCAAUCCCCUUAUAUGAUAAAUAGACUGAAUUUAGGCUUUUAUUCACAGAUAAACAUUGAUCAGUGAGCCAAGAUCCUAUAUUUUUAUAUUAUGCCUUCUGCUGAAAGCUACAAUCCUUCAUGUCAGAUGCUCACAAACUAAAAGAGAACUGCCUAAUUACUGUAUAACUUUGCUGAACAUCAUCUCUCCUUUUCAGAAUAUUGGCUGAUAUUUUAAAGCACCAUUUACAAGCAAAAAAAGCGCAAAGACAUUUUAAUUAGCUCAGCAGUGGGUUUCUAUUAAACUGUCAUAUUUUUUCCAUCUAAAGGAAGUGAUUCUUAGCCCCAGAGGGUAGUAUGCAGGUCUCAGAGAAGAUCCAUUGAAAAAAUUUGAUUUUGCUUUGUUAAUAACAAUAAUAGAUUAAAUGUAAAAAUCUUAAUCUUUGACAAAGCUUUUUUAAGUCAAUAAAACAAAAUACAUUGUAUAAAUUUGCAUGGAUGACAGUUGUAACAAAAUAUAUGUGGAAUGUUUUAUAUAAAAUAAAAUUUAAGCAACUUUAUUGUUAAUGCUAAUCAAUAUUAAGUAUAAUUUGAGUUUGUGGAAACACAUUUCUAGUUUGUGUAGAUGUAAUGGUUUGAGCCCUACUGAUCAGGCCGUGAGGAUGCAAAACAGUUGUGAAAUACUGAUCUAGCUUUGUGAAAAUAAAACUGGGGAAAAUGUAUAAAACCACAUGUUAGUUCUGUGUGGAUUGGCUACUUUUGUGUUUACUUUUAAAUUAAGAAUUGCACCUUUUAGGGCCUUUUGUUGUAAUUUAAAAUUUUUCCAGACUUACUGGAUACAAAAGGGAUUCUUUCCAUUCUGUGAGAAUUAGCUCAGAAAGGUGGUCUUGAGUGUAUGGGUCUUGGAAGGAGGGGGUGGGGGUGGGGUGUUUGUGGCUUUAGGCA